UUUUCUUUCAUGAAACAUCAAAGAAGCAACACAGAAUGCAUCUUUCAUGUUCCAGACAUACCACAAUACUUCAGUGUUUUCCAUUCCUUCAGAUUCACUGCUAACCAAGAUGAAAGCUGAGGUCUUGUGAGCAAAACCUAAGCCAUCUGAAAAGAAAUGGUAUCCCUUUGAGGUUCUCGGUUCCAGAGAAGGAACAUUGUGGUCAUGUUCGACAGGCUGGUGUAGAACGUCACACAAUGGUGCUGGAGAUGUUUCAUGGAUUGUCUUCCAGGAGAUGAAGAAGGAACAAGAAAGAAAAUUCUUAGGGCUUGAAAUCAUCACCUGCAUGAAAGAAAAACCCAACAAAGAACUGAAAAGAUGUGCUGAGCCCCCAUCAGGGCUAUAGGAGCAGCUGCCUGUGUCAAAGCUUGUGAAAACAUGCUACAUUCACCGUUGUCCCUACUGCCAGAUUACAUUGAUAGGAAUGGCUCAGGGAUGCUCUGCUCUGAAAAUGCAGACUUCUGGACUGAGAGGGAUUCUCCACUGGCUACUAGCAAUGUGCUGUCUGUCUUACGUAUACGAACAGUUCAGAAUACACUACCUGCUGAUGAGCGCAGGACCUGCAACCAGAGGAUCUGUAUGGAUUGCUCACGUGCCCUGAAAUUCUUCUCUGUGGGACAAGGCUUUGAAGAUGGAACACAUGAAAGCUUAUUCAAUACAUGGAGAAAGGAGAGGAGAACUGAAAACAGCUUUCAGCCACCCAUGCUAGGGAUUUUCCCCCUCACCUGGUGUUGCUCGGCCUUCUUUGAGUUCCAGAUUCAGCAUCAUAAGAAAACACCUGCUGAGCAGCUUGUGUGCUUCAGGUAGGGGAAUAACACCAUGUCUUAAAGAAUGAUCUGAAUGUAGAUUAAGUCUUACAGUCCAACAGAACUUAUGUCCACAAGUUUAUGUGCAAAUGUCAAUAAAUUGCUUUCUGAUACAAAAUAGGAACA
rnacentral:lncRNA from 1 species